AACUGAUACUACCUGCGGGAACCUGCGGAGGGAUCAUUAAUGAGAAGCUGCCCCUCGUGGGUAGACCUCCCACCCUCUGUGAACUUACCUUUGUUGCUUUGGCAGGCCCGUCCUCUGGACCGCCGGCUUCGGCUGGCCCGUGCCUGCCAGAGGAUUCCAAACCCUGUCUGUCAGUGUUGUCUGAGUCUAUAUGAAAUCGUUAAAACUUUCAACAACGGAUCUCUAGAUCGGAAGAGCACA
rnacentral:misc_RNA from 1 species